AAUCAAAACCUAAAGAAAAUA
rnacentral:miRNA from 2 species